ensembl:snRNA predicted gene, 24736
GUUCUUACCUGGCAGGAGAGAUACCAUGAUGGAGAAGGUGGUCUUUCUAGGGCAAGGCUCAUACUUUGCACUUCAGGUAUGCAGGCCUCUUCCAUUUUCUUUCCAGUAGUGAUAGUGGCAGGCUGAGUAC